rnacentral:tRNA from 1 species
GGGCCGGUAGAUCAAUGGUAGAUCGCCUCGCUUGCAACGAGGAGGUUCGGGGUUCAAUUCCCCGCCGGUCCA